rnacentral:snoRNA from 1 species
AUGGUAUUAAGGAUCCCACUACAGAUGCAAGAAAAAGAAGGUCCUCAUGCUUUCUGUCAGUCUGUGGCAACCCAGAUUGAAUGGGGGAAUACAGGG